AUGGGUUUCUAUGUAGUGCCCAUGACAGCAGGUGCCUGACGGCUUAAAGGAUAUACCUGCCGAGGUGCGUUUCGAUGGAGUUUUGCGGAACUCGGUUUUAGGUCCUUGUGUCAUGGCACAAGGACAUUUUAUUUUUAGGA
rfam:Chloroflexi bacterium RBG_19FT_COMBO_47_15 rbg_19ft_combo_scaffold_9095, whole genome shotgun sequence.